rnacentral:piRNA from 1 species
UUAGUAGUAAAUUAAGAAUAGAG